UCUAUCCGUUAUGAUCGGCGUUAUCAUCGAGGCAUACUUAAAAAAAAAAAAAAGGCCUCCUCAUCAGCCAAUCACAACACAGGGAUUGUCUUUGAUACAUCACCGGAUAUUACGCACAUCGAACAUGAAAGAGCAGCUAUGCUAACCUGCUAGCUCAGAGGUGGGAAAACUUU